UCCACGCCCUAAACGAUGUUCACUAGUCGUCGGAAUGCUAGUCAUUUCGGUGAUGCACUUAACAGAUUAAGUGAACCGCCUGGGGAGUACGGUCGCAAGAUUAAAACUCAAAGGAAUUGACGGGGGCUCACACAAGCGGUGGGAGCAUGCUGCUUAAUUCGAUGCAACGCGAAGAACCUUAUCCUGGGCUUGACAUGCAGGAAUACCUCCCUGGAAACAGGGUUGUUGCCCUU
rnacentral:rRNA from 1 species